rnacentral:rRNA from 1 species
GUCUAUAACCAUACCACCCUGAACAUGCCAGAUCUUGUCUGAUCCCGGAAGCUAAGCAGGGUCUGGCCUGGUUGGUACUUUGAUGGGAGGAGAGGUGAGGAGGAUGCUUCCCAUGAGCCAAGGAGUACAAAGAUC